rnacentral:lncRNA from 1 species
CUAAAACGAUUUAAUCCAGUUUGAAUAGUAAGGAGUAGUGUUUAUUUCAUUCAAAAAGAAUACAGAAGGGAGGGGUUAGUAAAAUGCACAGCAGAUAAAAUAUCUUCGAGAGAAAUGGUAAAGAACAUUGCAAAUCUAGU